UGGGGCAGGAAGCCCAAGCAUGGGUGGGGAGGGGAGAGUUAAGGAUGCUGACCCAGUCUGAACACCUCGCAGGCGACAUGCAGCGGGCACGGCGAGCGCAGGCAAGGUGGAGAAAUGCUGUGCGGGCCCUGGCUGGUGGAGCCUUGGUGGCAGGAGGUCCACGGACCUGGGGCACUGGACCCUUCCCGGCAAGGUGUCGCCGGCAGAGCCGGUGCCGAUGGGACUUGCUGGGCUGAGGAGUCAGGGACAGGGUUCAGCCCAUGGGACAGGGGCAGGCCGGAGUCGGGGAGGAUGACAGUUAGGGAGGCCAGCGUGGCCCCCACAGGCAACCAGAGGCGGGAGCCUCCCUUGCAGGCCGUGCUCCUGCCCCGCGGUGCCCCCCCCGCCGGGCGCCCUGGGCCCCCGACUGGCUUGGCGCCGACGACUACCAGAGCUGCCCCGCGCGUCGCACCGCCCACCGGGGAACCCAGGGAGGCUGCGGCCACUUCCGAACUCGCGUGCCACGGACUUGUAGGAGCAAGUGCAGGGGUGGGGCGCUGCCGGGAGCCGGCUUAGGAAACACCAUGUGUAUACCACAGAGCUCAUACAGGUUGUAAAACCGAAGGACACCUGUAUUCAUGCUUCAAUACAGGUGCCGGCUCAGACUCAAAAUCUGGACUUCCUUGCCUGGAUGCGUUACUCAAGGGCAGCUGGAACGACUCUCAAAUAUCCUAGUUCCCUCAUGGCGGGGAGCGGGAGGACCGUGCUGAGGUCUACAUGUUUUCCCUUCAAGUUGCUACAGCACCUGAAACGCUUAUGAAUCUUCCAGUACUUUAAAAGCUCCCUAGGUAAUUCUCCUGUGGAGCCAAGCUUGAGAUCUCCUGGCGAGGCCAAGAGGAGGAACCUGAGAAUCAGGAGCCCUGAAGCCAAAACCACCACUGAGUCAUCCUGCGAUCUUGGGCAAUACUGCCCACAUUCUGAGACAAGUUCCAAGGAUGUCUACAGUAAGCUGCUGGACCAGAAAAGCCAGGAUUCUGAUGAGUUCCACGUUGGGCACUGGGAGCCUUAGCUGGAAAAUGAUAUCCCCAGAUUGGUAUACUGUGAAGAGCCAAUCGAAGACUGAACAGCCACAACUUCAGAAAAAUAGUUUUAGAAAGAUAUGUCAUAAAGUG